rnacentral:rRNA from 1 species
CCUACGGGAGGCAGCAGUGGGGAAUAUUGCACAAUGGGGGAAACCCUGAUGCAGCGAAGCCGCGUGAGCGAUGAAGGAUUUCGGUAUGUAAAGCUCUAUCUGCAGGGAAGAAAAUGACGUUACGUGACUAAGAAGCCCCGGCUAACGACGUGCCAGCAGCCGCCGUAAUACGUAGGGGGCAAGCGUUAUCCGGAUUUACUGGGUGUAAAGGGAGCGUAGACGGUUCUGCAAGACAGAUGUGAAAGCCCGGGGCUCAACCCUGGGACUGCAUUUGGAACUGUAAGUCUAGAGUGCCGGAGAGGCAGGCGGAAUUCCUAGUGUAGCGGUGAAAUGCGUAGAUAUUAGGAGGAACACCAGUGGCGAAGGCGGCUUGCUGGACGAUGACUGACGUUGAGGCUCGAAAGCGUGGGGAGCAAACAGGAUUAGAUACCCGUGUAGUC